UCUUGCCUAGUAGGUAUAUUUUCCUCUCUGGGCUUAGAAAACUCAGAAACCUAUUUGCCUGAGAAAGGUGUCUUACAUCAAAGCAAAGUCUUUUCUGCUUCCAGAAGACUCUUCUCAGUGCUGAGUGUUAUCUGGCAGAAACGCCUGUGCCUCAUGUUUGUUCCCUCUCUGGUAGCCUCUAAUGUUUUUGAGAUCUCCUCUGAACAUUUUUACUUCUCCAUUCCCUUCCUGAGCAAAGCUGCACCUGCCAGUUGGACCCGGUCAGCUCUGCUGCCUGGACACUGCUCAGGCUGAGGCUCAAGGGAUUUCCACAGUCCUCUGGCUCUGCCCAAGUUCUUUCACAUUGAACAGGACUGAACUUCUCCCGCUGGGGACCAUGUGGAGCCUGUACCAUUCAUUUGUGCACAAAUGCCCUUUUCCUGGAUAAGAUUUUACCAAACUUGGAUAGAUGGAGUGGUUUCCUGCUUUAGUGAUGCCUACACUCAAGAUUCGAGAACAAAGGCAGAAAACUUUGCAAUGAUACAGUUAUACACCUGUUCAACUCAAAUGGACAUUUUUAAGGAAUGGAAAAAUCAAACAUCAGGCCCUACUAUCCUACUCUGAUAGUGAAAGAGAGACAUGAGAGAUGGAUAUGUGAUAUUGUUCAAGGUGCCUUGCAAAAUCAUCCUUCUGCUCCUUUAUUUGGCACUCUCGCAUAGAAUGUGUCCCUUGUUCUGCAGUAAGUCUCACAGGACUGAAAGCAGCUGAAGACCAUUUCAGUAUCUAAGCUAAUUUAGACAAGUCUCAAAGAAGAGAACACAAGCUUGUGGCACCAGCAGUAAUCUGCUUCUAAAAUCAUGGGAAAUGAUAAUAGCCCAGGAAACAAGACCAUGGUCAAGAAGAGUCUGAGAAGAUGAAAGGGAAGGAACAUAAUGAAAAAUCUACCUAAAGCAUAGAAAAGCACCAGUUGUGGGGAAAACCAUCACAUCUCCUUGGAUACUUUCAUACUUUCACAUUCUGCUCUCCCUUCAGGAACUGCUGGUUUGGUAUUGCAUGAACAGGAGGGAUCCUGGACAACAGUGUAGGCAUUUGAACUUUCUACAAAUAAAUGAAACAUCUUCUCCCACCAGAAGUUUGAAUUCCAGUGGAUUGUUCAAAAAAAUCUGUUUAUGGUAAGUGAAAAUAUGACCUCUGAGAUUCAACAUGUGACUAUACAAACUCUUUUGUCCAGAGAAGGUUUAUCAAGAACUGAAUUAGUAUGAAAAUCAUGGCCAAAACCUUUUCUCAGAUUAGGGAGAAUGAAGAAUAAAAGCUAAAUUUCAGACUUUUCCAAAGGAAGAAGUAGUUUCUUCUCCUUAAUCUUUUCCUUUCUUUUCUAAAUACAAACACAUUUAAAAAAUCAUUCUAACCAUUAGCGCUGCUCAUAUGCAGGUGUAAACUUUCCUGCUCAUGGCUCAUCAGCCAAGAUUUAUCAGAGACAGUGUCCUUUAUGUUUUGGUAAGAUAGCAACCUUCUUUAGCCUGUAAGGGUUAAAAUAUUAAUAGUUACCUGUAUUCUGUGCCUGUAAGAGUUUAGAAUCUGCAAGAUACAUUUCUGAUCUGCCCUGUUCUUGUGAUUUUACCUACCUUUAAUUUGCUUGAUUUAAAAGUUAUUUUUCCUGUCUGUAUUUCUGCUGAGACUCCCUGGUACAUGGCAAAAUAUGUGAUCCUCAGUGUUCUGCUCACCAUAAUAAAAUUCUUUCCAAUAAAUAAACUCUGUUAGGUGUCCCUUGUUGAGCAAGUAAAUCUCCACUUCCAGCUAUAGGAUUUCCUUUGAACAAGAAAAGAAGUUAUUAUAGAAUUCUUCCCCACUCGCCAACAGUUUCUGCAAUGCAAACCAAAUGGCCUGGCAUGACAGAACAAUCUUCCUAUAUAUCUAAUAAUUACAUUUGUAAACAGACUCCAGUGGUCAUAGCUAUGAAUUGCUGGGUCAUAUCUGUGAGCAUGUUUGCAAUCCCUUUCUGCCAUCUGGGAAAUUAAGACCAUGAGAGAUAUCUGUGUCAUAUCCACACUGGGAAAUUUGCAGCUAGAUCUUUCAGGACAGCAUUUGGACUGAAUAGUCCAAAGGACUGGAGGGAGGGAAAGAAUUUUGCUGCACUACAGUGUGAGAACUACUGUGCAAAUGCAGGCUUUUUGUAAGUAUUUGUUUUAUUAUGUAGCCCACCCCCCCUCAUUCCAUGGUCUUUCAGGAAAGUCAAAAUUUGUCUGCAUAAUUUAGAAAACAAUCCUGCUAGUACUGUAAACAGUGUUUUUAUUUUUCAUGUAAUUUGAAAUGCUUUAAGUGCAAUAACAGUUAAUGAAGAAUGCUACACUUGGUGUUGUAAAGAGCUAUCACUUGUGGCAGACGGACCUCCCCAUCCCCCAAAAGCAUCAGAAACUUCUAGACCAAUAGACCACUAUGGUCAUGCACACACCCCUUGGUUGACAGACAAGGCCCUUGACAAAUGAAAUGCCUUGGAGCAGUGGGUGUAUAGUGGAGUACUUCUUAGACUGGCACACCAUCUAUGGAAGGUUCCUUGAGCACUGAAACACCUUGUCUUACUGGUAACCAAUCUUCUGGGUACUCUUGAGUGACCUCACUUUUUGUGAGAGGGGAGAUAUGCAUCAUUCUAGAAUCAUCACUCUAGAAUUUUUGGAUCCUUUGAGUCUGAAUUGACUGUGUAGUAAUUGAACGCCUAACCAGUAUUUGAAUCUGUGUUUUAUAAUGUUGUUGGAGUGUUGAGUAAUUUUGGAUAAACCCCAUUUCUAGUUGGUUCUUCACUAAAUAGUUUUGGUUAGAAUAAAGUCUGUUUGGAGCUUAUUGCUUGUCUAAAUUGAUUUUUGGGGUGCUUCCAUGACAUCAAUGCAUUAAUGUUUACAUAAUCAAAACACGAAUCAGUGCAUUUUGAAAAGAUAUUUGGAAUGUAGUUAAAAAAUUAUAGGAAUCUCUACAAGAGGACAAAAUGUUUAAUCUUGCCUCAUGGAGACAAAAAAAAAAAGUAACCUGGUGAAAGAAGUGCUUUAACCUUGGGAAGGACUUAUUUUUAUAUUUGCAUGAGAAUCCAGUAAAAUUAUGCCAUGUGUAAUAUUAUUGAUCAUAGAAAGCUCUCAGGUGCAAUUAAAUUUUGUGUGCCAGUUGAAUUGGCAUGUACAGAAAACAUAUGUGGCCCAAAGAUGUAUGGUUCCUUUUUGUGGCUUUUAGUUCCUGCUCCCCAAAACAAGUACAUGUUUUGUUAAUUUAUGAGUUUGCUUUAAAUUGCCUCUGAUGUCUUGUUUGUUUCCUAACAACAGACAGACUGAGAUACAAUAUGAAUUCCUGGAGUGUAAACUGACCUCACGCAUCCAAAGAGAGCAUGAAACUUCACAGCUUAACUUUGGCUUUGGGCAUUGUAAUGACUGAAAGCCAGAUACUCCAUGGUGCAAAUUAAUUUUCCUCGUCUGACUUCAGUGACUUGCACAAAUUUACAGCAGCUGAACAUAUGACCUUACACUCAGAGCCAAUUGCCCAUAAGAGAUACAGACAGCUCUGUGAAAUGAAAAGAAUUUAGAUUUUUCAGUUCUUCUCCUGACAUUUUUUCUCAUUCAUUUCCUUUUUGCCUCCUGAUGCCUUUGGGAAUGAGGCAAGAGGAAUGGCAUUUAAGCUUGGUUCAGUGAAACUGCAGACUACAGUGGUAUAUUAGAUUAAUAUAUUAUGACUCUGUAGCUUUUAUGUAUAUAUUAUCCUUGUACUACAGGGCUAAAUUAUGCCCACAUAUCCCUGCACGCAUAUUCUCAAUUUGCAUUGCAGAUGCAUACCUCUAUGUGAAAACAAAAUAUGAUUUUUAGAAUAUUUUGCUAGUAUCUGUUAAUUUUUUCUAUAUACCAGUGAUCCCAAUUCAUCUGCAAAUUUAGCGACAUUUUCUUUAUUUUAAUAUAUGGUGGCACCAUGGCUAAUAAACUGAAGAUAUGACUUAUUUUUACAUUUUCUGUUUUUUAAAUCAAUUUUGUACUCAUUCAACUGUGCAAGUAUGGAAAUUAUCUUCCAUUACGUUAUACAUAUUUUACAGAUGUUUGUACAGCAACUUUAGACAGGGACAAGCUGUUAGGACGCAUGACAAGCCAGAGUAUUUUUCCCCAUCUGUAUUCAAAGGACUUCAGCAAAUCAAUGCUUGUAUCCUUCUUUCUAAGGAAUGCUUCUUGUCAGUUGAGGUAAAUGUGUUUUAUCCAGAUACUUUCUUCUGAUUCUGAGGGAACAGAUGUUCUGCCUCUGUUUAGAGCCUGUGUAAGAGCAAAGACUGAUGAAAAUUGUCUGUGAAGUAGCAGCAGCAUUAAACAAGCUUUUCCAAAGUAUAUUGUUAGAGCUCUUAGUAAGUCAUAUAUCUAUAUUCCUUUAAAAGCAGACUUCUGAAAGACUGAUUACCUUUCCUUAUCAUGGUACUAGAUAAAUGUCUUUUGGCUAGAUUCCUGUGCUGAGUUUUUAAUUUAACUAUUUUGCUAAUAACAUUUAAUUUACUUAUCUAGCUCACUGAAAAGAGGAAUCAGUUGUCAGUAAAAUGUGGUGAUAUUUUUGUUUUUAUUCAAAGGAUGUUUCUUUUACAGUAUCUCAGUUAAAAAAAUCAAUUUGAUUAAAAACAGAAUUCCUGAAAUCAACCAUACCUGUUUCUUCCCACUGAGUACAUCCUCAAGAUAACUACCAUCUAACAGUCUUAGCAUUUUAUAAACAAGACCAAAAUGCCAUAGCAUGUCUCUAUAGAAAGCAAUAAACAGAAAGGCAUGUUACAAUAUAUGAUGAGUUAGAGCUAAGCAGUCCUCACCCAGCCUCUUUGUGGAACUGAUUGUGGUUCCGCAUGGUAAUAACUAAUUAACAGUUUCAUGCCAGGUUCUCUUAAAGGUCUAAUUCUUCGUAAUAUCUUUUUCCAAUCACAGGAAAACAACGUUAGCAAAAUGUUGGCUGUCAAUAUUAUUGUAAUGCUGAAUUUCACACACAUGUGAACAAGCUAUUGAGAAGCAGGGAAUAUUCAUUCAGCCUCUGAGCAGCUCUGUGCUACUGAGUCCCCUGUAGGUAUGAAAUAUCUGCACCAUAGUUGCUAGGAGACAGUAAGACUAUUAUUCCUCGCUGCAACACUGCAACACAACCUGGGUCUAUCUCACUUAGGGCAUCCCUGUACUCUGGGCAAAUCCUGCAUGGAAACUCCAUAAAGCAGUAAAACAAUUUCAGCAAGGUACUGGGUCUCAGCUAAGUAAGUCCUGCAUGGACGGUGUAAAAAUACAAGUUAGCAAUGGGAAGCAGAAGAAAAGAAAAAUUUCCUUCAUCUUCCUCAAAAUUACCCAACUAUCUUAGGUUUGUCAGUUUCUUAAUAUUCUCCAAACACAUAAAUUUUCAGUAUCCAAAGGUAUUUUAUUAAACUCCCUAUUAAAAAGGUAGUGUUCUUAUUCUUGUUUGUGUGUUCUUAGUCCUUUUUCUUCAAGAGUUUGCCAUUUUCAAAAUGACAGGUUUCUUAUUGCAGCUCUAGCAUCUUUUAUGAAAGAAAAUCAGAUUUUAAUUCAUCCCAAUCAUGUAUAAAAUGCAGCAUAUGUUUCUAGUGAAAUAUUGAUAUGAUUAUUGCUGCUGAAAGUCUCAAAUUGCCCAUGAUUUUGGUUUCUCUAGGAAAAGUAAAUUUGCUGUUAAGAUAACAGAAUGGGACUCAGCAGGAUCAUAGGUUUUAUGGAAAGAGUUACACUGGAGAUCUCUUAAAAUUUCUUUCAUAGCACUGCACAUUGCAUUUCUUCAAGUGAUUCUGAAAUACACCCAUAACUUUUGAAAUAUCUGGAACAUGAGUGUAAGUUUAUUCUUGAUUCUGCCAUAUACCUUUUGCCAUUUAUUUCACAUGUUUGCACUUUGGUUGCCUCAUCUGUGUAUAAUGGAAUAAUAAUAUUUCCUCUUGUACAGAGCAGAAAUUUAUUCAUGGCUGAGAUUUUUUUAGAUGCCACGGAGACUGAAAGUAUCUAAGACAAAAAGUGAGAGAUUCCCUACUAAGUGGUAGUGGUUGUUGGAAGACAGAGGACAGAAAAGCAGUUCCAAACUCUUUCUGGUACUUUGAGGCCACAAAAAGUUUGCUCCUUGAAUUUUUGCAACCCUUUAGGAAACAUAAUUUAUCAGUAGAACACAAAUGUUUCCUUAAAUCUCGAAAAUUCAAUUUAGAAUGUAGGAUUUAAGAGUAUUUUUAUCUACCUUCAUGCAGAAUCAAGCUGAAGGUACUCUGAGUGCACAAGCAGUGAUUUACUAUCUAAUCAAGAUGUAUGGCUUAGAUUUAUUAUGGCUGUUUCAGAGGCUUGGUUCUUCUGGCAUAAAGCUAGGUGAAGGCCUUGUUGAAGUUGAGUGAAUUGCUCCUGUGAAGGAGACAGGAAGUGAAAUUAGGUUUUCCAACAAGCAGGCAGACAAAAAUGCUUUAUGGUGUGCUCAUGCCUCACUUAUAUGACUCAGCAAUAACCAGAUGGUGACAUCAUAUCAUGUGUCAUUCUGUUUCAAAACUAGCUGAAUUGAGAACUACAUCCAUGUUUAGCAAACUCUGCAAGACCAGGGCAGACUCCUGUAGGGAGGAGUACAGAUAUCUGACUUACACUGUUAUGGGAACAUCGUACUUUCGGGACCCCUGAAAAUCAGGGCUAAUCACAGUGCCCCACACACUGUCAUUUGUAAAUUUCAAAACACUUUAAAGGCAUCAGUGCUGACUGAUUUACCUAAUGAGAGACAGCAUUUUGGAUUUGUUCUCGUGAUGCUGAGGGCGUAAGAAAGGAGUCCAUUAAUCAUUCUGCGUGUUUGUUGUGGUGUGUGUGCUGCACUUUUUUUUUUUUUGAAUAUGAGUACUCUAGAUUUACAUAAAAAUCUUGUCCAACAUAAAAUACCUAACUGAUUUAUGAGUGAACUUUCAGAGGAGAUGGAAAUAUACUUUCUGAUGUAUGAAAGAAGUUAUUUCCAUUGUGGAAACCACAUUGGGUAAGUAUUGCAGGUUCUGUUUCACAGGUUGCCCAGAAAACUCUUUUGGCUUUGGGCUAUUUAGCAGCCCCACUGCAAGUUCUGUAAAAUAUCAGCAAUGGUGAAAAUUUUUGGAGCCCUUUGGGAAAUUAGGCAAAAGACCGUCUUCAAAUAUCUUUUGGAAGGAAGUGGGCAUCUAACUCUUUCAAAUUCAGGAUUCAUUUUCAAGUACAGUAAAAACAGAAAUCAAGUUAACUUUCUUACUCAUAGAAGAAAAAAAUAUUCUCUAUAUUACUGUGGCUUUAAAGCCAGAAGACAGAGAGAUUACAGUGAGACAGCAAGAGAGUUUAAUUUACUUCAUCUGCAUGAAGCACCCUCUUUAUUUACUGUACAAAACUCAAGAGUUUCAAGAUGUGCAGUCAGCUAUGUAAUGCAACAGAUUGGUCAAAUUUAAGUGCAUUAUAAUAAUAGUUUAAGUGGAUUAUGAAGAACCAAAUCUAAACAGAAGAUAUACAUUUAAUCUGCAGAUCACAGGUUGUAAGACCUACACAGAAAUAAAUGGAAUUCCUUUGUUUCAGCACUGCUCAAAUGAGUGAAACUUAAUAUUGAGGUUGUCCCACUUCAGAGACUAUAGUAAAGUAUUAAGGCUAAGUUACUACUAGUCUUCCCCACAUUUAAAAGGCAGUAGGUAAGUCUUACUGUGAAGCUGAGGUCUUAAUUUUGUGACUUUUUCUCAAGAAAUUUUUUUCAAAUAGGGGAAUCACUUUUCCUAAUAUUCUAUGUCUACCUUACAAAUAACUAAGAAUGGACUAUUUAUGCAGAAAUUUUUGCCACUCAUAACAAACUCAUCUCUGUGUAGAAACCACUUUUAGUCUAUAUGUUGUCCUAUUGAUAGGAUACAUUCUAAAAUAUUAGGAGUAUACCUGGAAAGUAUCAAAAUGAUUUAUGUUAAUAAAAUAUUGACUGUGUACACAUGAUGAUCAGACUGUUUUUCUAUGUCUGAAAAACAAUAUAACUAGAUAGGAUUUUCUCUAUUACAGUAGGAGAGAUAUAAUUAAAAUCCACCAGAAGAAAUGCAUCUUGGGCUGGCCUGUAUUGCCACAGGGAAGAAGUUCCAAAAGAAAAUCCAUUUGCUGAACUAUGCUGUUCUGUAGCAGAAAAAUCCCCAAACCAGCAUUCAUUGCGUGGGAAGAUUCAUGGUGCAGGCCCAUUACUGCUUUAUUUUUUACAGAUAAUGUAUUCUGUUCCUCACAUAAAAAUUAUCUCUAUGUUUGCAUCUGCAGUCUCACCUUUAUUAUCAAGUUGCGGUCAGAAAGGAAAAACAAUUUAUAUAAACAGGUACUUUUACUUCCUGGGACUUGAUUACAAGUAGCUCUUUCAACGCUUAUCCUCACUGAAAAUGCUUCAGGUUUCAUGAGGUUGCUUUUCAACUUUAUAGACAAAAUUCUCUAGGCUUUCUCAUUGGAGAAAUAAGGAUAUUGAAUGGUGUUACACAACAAUUGUUCUAAUGCAACUGUGGUGUUCUCUUUGUCAACAAGAAACUUAACUUAUUUUCCAUUUUAAUGUCAACAUUUUUUGUCUAUGUCCUUCAAAUGCUAUAAGACAAGGAAGUUAAACAAACAAAUUGCAAAAUAGGGUAUUACCACUAGGAAAUACUUUUCAGGUCCUUUAAUUAAAUAUUGAUGCUGCGCCUCAUUAUUGUAACUACAGUUAGGCCAAACUAGGCUUCUUUGAUCUCAGUUUCUUCACUAUUUGAAUAUAAAAUAUAUCUUUCAGUUGUCCGACUUUUGUAUUCAUUUGACCCAUUGUGGCACAGGUGCACAUUGUAGCACAGUUGUUUUCUUAGUAUCUGUUGGAAGAGAGUGAUAAAAAAAAAUUCCUUGACAUCCAGAUUCCUGUUGACAUAACUGAAGCCAAGACUGAGCCUCAUGGAACAACUACAAGAAUUACAAGAAAACAAAAUAGUUGGUUUUGUUUGCUGAAGGACAUAAUAUGGAUUGAUACUGGCCAUUUUAGUUCCUGAAGACGAGGUAAGUUUAGCAAUAACUAAAUUAACUCUGACUUCAACAAGCACUAAUUUGUGUUCUGUCACUGAUAAACCACAAAGCAUGUGUGAAGAGCAUGCCUUUGAAUGCAUACCACAUGGUGGUGAGAAUCAUCCCACAAAAAGUGUUGUGUGUACAACUUUUGACAGUAGUUUUUGUGGUAGUGAUAAUAAUACAGGUUACAGAUAUGAAAGAGUUUUGCUUUAAAAACUUUAAAAGCCGGUUUUCAGCAGUAAGAUGGAAGCAUAUUUGGUUAGCACCAUUAGGUAGGAUGAAAUAUAAUCAUAAAAGGUCAAAAACCAGUACAUUACAGGUCAAGGAAUGUGAGAAAUAUGUUAAUUUGUGAUCUCAUGUGAAAUUAGAAAUAGUCAUACUUUAAAUAAAGAAAAUUGUGAACAACCCUGUAUACCAAAUGGCCUGACAAGUUAGCAACAUUGCAGCCUGCUUGACAGUUCCAGUAAUCAAUAUUUGCAUUAAUUUCCUAGCUUUAAAAUGCACAAAGUAGUCUGAGAUGAAGGAGGUUCUCAGAGCAAACAAAGUUAUUAAACCUCUGCAUAUGUGAGACAAACCCCUACAGGCCAUUGGUUGAUGAGGAACCUUGAGGGAAAAAUCUCUUUGACAAUAUAUAUGGUCUUUCUUGUAGAAACUUGUAACUGAGUUGGUUAUAAUCUUUUUCUGUCUUCUAGGCCAUUUCAACCACUUAACACUUGCAAAUCCAUUUUGAAGGUAUAUAUCUUACAAUGUAUUUUCCCUAUUUUCUCUAUUUACCCUUCAGAAAACAUUCACCUUAUUGUAGUAUAUAAAUCAUCAUCUAUAGAUAACAGACCAUUUUAAUGUAAUAACUGGUAACAAGAUUCGGAAGUUUGGGAUUUGCCAUUUGUGGCUAACCAAUGUUUGAUAAUAAAUGACCAUGUUAUAAAUGUGUAGAGGAGUUUAAGUUGUGUAGCUGUUUCUGGGUCCUUAAGAUGGAGUCAGAUACAGCAGAACUCUGAUGAAAAAAACAGCUAUCUAAGUAUUGUCAUCUGAUCACAAAAAUGGACAUUUGGGUGGAUGACUGGUAUAAUAAUUUCAUUAGGCUUUCUGGAAAUUUCUGGAGCUGCUGAAGCUGCAAUUCAGAAUAUGGAAUUUAUGACUGUUUACCACUGAAAUCUAAGAUGGGUAUCAUAAGUCAUGUGAAAACUGGUUUACAUAUGGUGUGUAAUCUUUUGCUACUAAGAUACUGGGAAAAUACCUUGAGAAAGCAAUCAGGUAACUUAAAUAAUAAAGAAGAGAUGCUAGACUCAUAAAUAAACACUGAUGAACAAAAGAGUUUCCUGUUUUGCUUUUCUGAAAAGUGUUCUUCCUCCAUCAAAGUGCUUCUGUAGUAAAUCUAACCCUUUAGGCAUUUAAUCAUUUUAUGUGGGUGUCUCGUAAAUGUCUGUAGCUCACACUGGAAGCCAAGUGAUCUUACAGUAAAUAUCAUGGCAAUAAGAUGAUGAAUCUUUGUGUCUUGUUAAAAUGAUGACUUGGAUUACUUGAUUAUCACUAAGGAAAGGCAUUUUACAAAAAGCCAGGGUGCUGAGAAUAUUAGUAUUUACAAAAUAAAGAAGAGCAGGUAAAAUACCUAUCAACCUGUCCUUAGGCCCUAUACAAAUUCAAAUAUAAAUACAUACGUUGUAGCAAAGUGCAAACACUCCUAUUCGUCAUUUUUCAUCCCAGCACAUUCCUGUCUUUCUCUAAAAUAGCAUUGGAAUAAAGAAUUUGCCUAAAUGAAAAUAAAGUAUAUGCAGUGAAAAACAAUUACUUUAUAAAAUACAGGUAUACAAUAAAUAGUGUAAAAUGGGCAAAAAAAUUCUUAGGUAAACUAUAACUGUGGGAAAUGGAGUAUCAGUAGUUUAAAAGUGUUUGAAUAUCUGAAUCAUCAAAUCUUAGCAAAUGUAUUAGUCAUUUACUAUGUUAAUGAACUGUUUAAACAGCUGUAUAGUUUAAGAGAAAAAAAUAAGCAUUUUCAAAAUGUGAGAACUACUGUUAGAUAUUAAAGGUUUAGUAUGUACUCAGGCUCUCAUUGCUAGUCAAAUACUUUUUCAUGUGCACUACUUUUGUGACAGUCAUGAAGUUUUCAGGAUUUAUGUUUUAACUGAAAAACAGGCUCCCUAGUGAGUAAUGCAGUCUCCUACCAGUCAUGAUGAGCAAGCUACGAUCACUUUAUAAAGGAUUAGGCCUGAGUUAUAAAUUAAGUACUUUGGGCUACAGUCUUCCAGUGUGUGCUAGCUUCAGAGGUUUGCUUCAGGCUCCUUACUCUAAGGAAGUUGUUAGAAAACAUCAGAAUGAGGUUCACUUUUGGGAGGGGGAAAAAAUAAAAUAGCAAGAUAGUAUGCCUGUGGAAAAAUCUAUUUAAAAGAAGUAAAAAAAGAUGAUUCAAACCUGGCAGUGCUAACAGAAAACAAAUAUGAUGACUUUGCAUUGUUGAACAGCAGCCAAAAGACCAAUAUGAACUUAGGCUGUUUACAGAAGAUAGGCAUUCAGCUAGACAUCAGGAGACCUGAUCUGUGCGGUCUGUCUCUGAGCUGCUGACCUCGGGCAAGUCAUUUGUCAUAAGUGUAUUUUCUUUCCCAUCUUUAAAACUGGAACAAAAUGUUCUUUAAUGCUCUAAGAAAACUUGGAAUUGGAUAAAGUUUGUAUGUAGCUCCUCAGGUCAACUGACAGUACCAGCUACAACAGGUUACUCGGCUGUAUUUUUUGUUCUUUAAAAAAAGUUGAAUAAGGAGAAGGAAAGCUUUGACAGAGAACCCAAACCUGUUUAUCACCCAUACUCAGAUGGUUAUCUAAACCUAACAUCAUUUUCAGCUCUAUGCUAUAAUCCUUGCUUGUAGAAAAUUUCUACCUAUAUAUUGCUCAUAUUUUUCAGUACAAGCUUAUAAUUUUCAAUUAUUCUCACUUCUGUUUCCUUACUAUUCCUCCUGAGUCACAAAGACAUCUUUAAGAAUGGUAGGGUAUCUGUCUGCUCUGACGUGUGAUCCUUCACAAGCUGCAGGUGGAUCUCUGCUCCACUGUGGACCUUCAGGGGGACAGCUGGCCUUACCAUGGUCUACACUAUGGGCUGCAGGGGAAUCUCCACUCCAACACUUGGAGCACCUUCUCUUCUCCUUCUUCACUGAUCUUGCUGGCUGCAGAGUUGUUUCACGUAUUCUCACUCCUCUCUUCUAGCUGCUGUUGCACAGCAGUUUUUUUCCACUUCUUUUUCUGGCUGGCAUUGGCUCUGUCCAACACAGGGAAGCUUCUAGCAGCUCCUCACAGAAGCCACCCUGGAGACCCCCUGCUACCAAAACCUUGCCACGCAAACCUAAUACUCAGGGUACUAGCUGAUGUGUGCCUCUAAGGUAAAAACUUGUUCUAUCAGUAUUUCAGCAAGUGAGUCAUUCCACCAAAUGACAAAUUUAUCUUGUUGGAUGAUUUUCAAAUGGACAGUUGUUGAAUCUUAAUGUGUGGUCCAAGAUAGUCAUGGUGAUAUCAGGAAAACUCAUAUUGUUAAUAUAACAGAGCUAGGCAAUCAUCAACAGGACAAGUAUUUCAAAAAGAUGACUAGAGGAAGAUGAUGGGAUGACAAUGAAUCAAAAGUUAACAUAUCCUUGAUAUUGUCUUUAUGAAUGCCUUUUCAUAGGUCAGUGUCAGUUACUUAACUGAUGCAUGAUGCAAUUUGCUCAUCAGAUGAAGAGUUAAUGCAAAGUUGGGUGUCACCAUCAGCCACCAAGCACUUGCAACACACUGGCUGAAAGUGUUACCCUGCAAACUUUGCUUGAUCUGGGUAUUGAAAGCAGCUGUCAGCAAGCUGCUAGAGGCUAUUUUAUGUAUCAGUUACAUUUAACAAGUCGCUGAGAGGUAGGCGAAUGACACAUUGCAAAGAUAUUCUCAAGAGAGUUGGGCAGCAGCAUCUUCUCAACACAAAAGACAAAGAUCAUCUUUUGACGUCAAUCGAUAUUCUCUGUGAACUCAAAGCUCCAGCUAAACUGGAACAGUGAACAGCACAGGCAGUGUCAAAAACUGUCCUGUCUUUGUGAGGACUGUGAUACACUGUGACAUCUGUGAAGACUGGACUAAUUUUUCAUCAAUAGUUACACUCCAAUCUGCUGUAUUAUUGGAAAAAAUGUACAGACACAUUUCAAGUUUUUUUUUUUUGAGAAAAUAUUAUAUAUGUGUGAAGUAUCAUUACACUGAAUUAAUGAAAGUUGAAAAGUUCUUUGUAAAUGGGAUGAUUUCCUCGAGAAUAUCCUUGCAGUGUUUCAAUUUACAUAGAAUUUGCUCUAAAAAAACCAAAUUUCUAGAUCUUACUCAGUGAGGUAAGUGUUAGCUUUCUUUCAAAAGCUGAGACACAAAAAGGAUAAAAUGAUUUCCACGGGGCUGAAAUUUAUCAUGUAUAAGGAAAGUUACUGUUUCUUUGGUUCUUCUUUAAAGCAGAAGAAGUUUUCUGUGGAGUUUAAUAUUCUAUAGUGUUCUUUCCAUUUAACUGCUCUUCAGUAUGCAAUAAACAAUAUUGUUUCUAAAUGCAAUGACUGAACUGUAAUUGCAUUAGCAAUUGAACCAUAACUACCCUAGUAUUUAUGCAAGAUCCUUUGGAACCAAAAAAUGAAAAGUUACAAUCUUGGGUAGCUACUUUUGGAAUGAUUGCUUACAAUCUAAACCACUGUUAAUCUUCAAAACAGUGCAUAACUCCAAAAUAUUCAAACCUGUCAAAAUAUCAUUAUUGUGCCAAUGUUUUAUUUCAUUUCAGGAUCAGUAAGUGUGCAAAAGCACAUUAGAAGUAACCCUUCAAUAGAAAAAUCUGGCAUCUCUCUUUCCCUUUUUUGUCUCUGUUCUUCAAAUGAUAGAGAUGGUGUUUUACUCAGUAGGGGGAAGUGGUGAGAAUAGGUUUCUUAGCUGCAUAUAUGUAUAGUUAUACUUAUGUUGCUAAGUUCAUACUGUAAUAUUGAUGAUAUGUGCCAAGAGCUGAACACAGGCUCCAAAGUUAAAUUGUUUAGCCUGAGAUAAAUACAUAGCCAGAGGACAGGGCGUAAAUGCGUUAUUAUCCAGAAAACGGGGAAUCCCUGACUUCCAGUAAGUUAUUGCUAAGGUGUAUGACAAGAUGAUGGAACAAAACCUUGUCAUCCGUUACCACUUAUUUUAUUUUAUAAGUUAUUCAGACAUCUGUGUUGUGAUUUCAGUUUGUGUAUUAAGCUAGUUUUGUACUGAGUUCCUUGCUACUGUGGAAGCCAAGAAGUCUGGGAACCAAAGGAGAUGAAGAGGAUCAAGCAAAGUAUGCACUGAAGGGUUUCAGAGAACAACACAUUUUGGCAUUGUUUUAAUUGUCUGUCUUAGGCAGAAUUAAUCACAUCAAAUGUAAUAGAAGUUCAAUACAGUAAAAGGUUUAGUUAGAAAUUAGGUUUUAACAUUAAUAUACUCCAUGUAUUUAUUAUAAUAUGUACAAAUAAUACAAGGUUAGCUCUUUUUUCCUAAACACUAGGUGAACACCUAGAAGAAGAUAGUUUCUAUUUUGAAGAUCUUUUCACAGGACACAAAAUGCAAAUGGUGGAUAUAUAAAAUGCUGUUACAUAUACUGUGUAAUAAAUGCUGUGAAAAGCAGACUGUGGUAAUGUUAUGGGGUCUUUUCUUUUUUUUUCCCUUUGGUAAGAAUUGAUUAGGAGGACAUCUAGCGAAUAGUAGAGAGUAUAUAGAAGAGGAGGAGAGGUAAGGACAUACAGAGAGAAAAGUGAAGAAAUGGAAGCAUGAAUAUGAAGGAGAGUGUGGAAACGAAGUGAAAAGAGAUGAAAAGGUAUGGAGCAUAACUGAAGUACCCAGCCCACCAGUAACUGGUGGAGAAAAGCCAGUCAAAGCUGAUGACAUUUUCACUCACUUAAUAACAGCCUUUGAAGCUACAGUAAUAAUCUUAAUUUCUUCUCCCCAGAGAUUUUUUUCUAGAUGAUUUGCUGGGUGAGAGCACAUCACAUUUAAUCUAACAUCUCCUGAGGGAACUAUUCCAGUGCUUUCCUGUGCCCACAGAUUUUGAAGUUAGGGAUUACUUUGGAUAGUUGCACUUUACUGGCUGGCAGCUAAUAUUAAUUUCAUACCUUGUGUCUUAUCCUACCUUGUUCUGUUUUUUAUUCUGUGUGGAAGAUUGGCUAUUUGCAGUGCAUAAUGUUUUCAAAUUUUACCAUGUCUCUCUUCAUACAUUAUUCACCAAUAAUAUUCUGAUUGUAUAAAUAUGUUUGUUUUGGGACUUACUCACUCAACACUUGUAUACAAACAUAUCAGGCUAUGUGUUAUUCAUGAACUAUUUGUUUUGAUUUUAAGUCCUGUGUCUUUGUAGCACAAUUGCAGUGAAUGCUCUGUAUUAUUAUUGCUUCCCCUUCUGUUCAUAAUAGGUUAAACUCAAUUUCUUGCUGUCCACAUGGAGAAUUGUGAACUAGGCACACAGCAAUUGCAAGGCUAUUCUUUUUCUGGCAAGAGAAAUAAAAUAACCUAUUUUUUAAAAUGGAAAAGGUUCUCCACAAUGUCAAAUUAAAUUCAUAGUUUUUAUUCAAAUGAAUGCAAAUAAGCAUGUUUUCACAGUAUUUACUUAUGGAAUAGAAUUGAUAAAUGUGCUCUAAGGAGAAAAUGGUGUUAUAACUUAGCCAUGGACAUGAGGACUGUAUCUCGAGUAAAAGUAAUAACUGUGGUUUCACUGUCCUGCCAUUGUUGGCUGUAUUGGAAAAAUACUGGAAUCUACUGUCCUCUUUGCAAAGGCUGUCCACCCUCCCAUAGAACAUGGCAGUGGAGCACAGGUUUUUACAGACUGAGGGAGGAUGGUAGCAGCCAGGGAAGUUGCUGUUUUACUAAUCCAUAAGCAAAAUAAGUAUUUGUCUUACCCUAGUUCUGAAUUUUUGUCUGAGAACCUGAUCUGCAACUGAGACAAACCCUGAGAAUUUUACUCUCUUCCAUUAACCUGCUUGUCUUUUUUAUCAGGAGGAAGUCUUAGAUUCAUGUUAAAAUAGAAUGAAUGGCUCAAUAUGGAGUAAUUUUAAAAUCCAUGACAUCUAUUUCUAAAUUACUUGGCUGAUCUAUUUUGCAUGGAAAAAGCUGAAUAGAGACUGAACAAAGACAGUCUUGUGAAGGAAAAUAGGGGAACAGGCUUUUUAACUGACUACAACCUGAAGUGAAACAUGCCAAAAAAAGUAAAGUUACUUGGGAAACUGAACAAAUAAGAGCACAGACUUGAUUUGUGAAACUUUCCAGGUUGCAGAAAAGUAACAUUAAAAAAAAAGAUUCCACAAAGAAAGGCAUAACUUAUGUAUUGGUUGGAACUUACAGGCAAAUUAAAAAUAGGCAGAAAUAUCCCAUGAGAAGGGUGAUGAAGUAUUUUAACAAACUACCAAUAAAAAUGAUUAAUUCCGUGUCUUUUCUAAAUCAAAACCAGAAAUUACAUUUCUGCUACAUCCACUUUGUUGACUCCAGUACAGAUGGAUGUAUAUCUUUGCCUGCAUUGCAAAAGAGGUCAUGUUACGUGAUUUUCUAGCUUCAAAAUCAAUUCCGCUGUUGUAUAGGUGUUCCAAUAGGAUGAACAGAGGGGAAAGGGAACAACCCUGAUGUACCUGUGCAUCCAUGACAGCUCCAAUAUCUUUUAUUACUUCUUCAGCAGGCAGAAGAUUGCUCUGCAACCACUUCUCUCCUCUUGCUGCUCUGGGAAGUCUCUCUCUCCUGACCUGUAGGAGAAUUUGCCAUUUGAGCUGCUUGCGGAAAUCGCAUCGGGCUCAUCCAGCCUCACAAGUAUUGCCAGCCCUGAGAGGGAUUUGUGUAGAGACACAUCGCAUGUAUCUGUGGCUGACUUUAUUUAUGGAAUAGAUAAUAGAGAGCAGGCUACACUAACAAGCCUUUUUGUGACAGGUAACCUCUGGAUCUCUGAGAAUAUUUUUAUUGACAUACUGCCUGCAUGAUGUAUUGUAAUCUCUUCCCUUAAGCUGCCCUUUCACAUGUGAAGUAGUGGCAGGCUUCACACAAAUACAAUUAGUAUGUAUGUAAUAGGUUUGCCAUAUUUAGAAUAUAUGAAAGCUAGCUGGCAUAUAAUUUUAUUUAAUUGAACUGAACCCAUUAAUUUUCUGCAAUGGAAUUCCAAUUUACAGCAAAUAUAUCAAGUGACAGACAGACUUUUAGAAAGAGGUUAAGACAAACAGUUUUUCAACAGACGGGUGAAUGCUGGUAAUAUGAGAAAUUGCCAUUUAUUUAAGAAACACGAGCCUUCAAAAAUCCCUUUGUGAUAUCUUGCCUCCAUUUUGCUGUGGUAUGAAUGUGACAGUAAAUAUUAGCACAGGGUAAUAUCAAAAUGCAACUCACAGAAUCAAUAUAUGACAACUAUAACGGUUGCUAGAGACAUGUUAGAAUCAAAUUGCUACUGUUAAUAGCAGCUUCAUGACUUAAAACAGAUGUUUUAAUUGUGCAGAUUGGUUAGGCUCCUUCCAAACAGCUGUUGAGGUCACUGGCCAGUGCUCUUGGUGAAAUCUGUCCAUGUGCUAAGCUUCCCUGCAGACCGUUGCACAGUCACCUUUAAAUCGAGGAACAAAAGGGAUUUUAAACAGAGAACUUCUGCCAAGUCUCUGCUUCUGUGUGAAUUUCAUUUAAAAUUAUUAUAAAUGUACAUUUUAGUAUUACAAAUCAAACCUCUGCAU